CCCAAUAAAAUCGUCUCUUCACCCUCCUUCGCAAUACAACUCUGGUUUCCAUCAAUUCCCAACCAAAUAUCCAAACCGAAAGCCAAAUAUAUAUGAACCCUAGUUUGCAAAUUUCAAAAUUAAACCAUAAAUACACAUAAAUCCGACUCCACAUCUUAGGGCUAUGGCUUUUCACAUCAAGCCCUACAUGGUGGUAACGAAAGUAAAACAAGGCAAUGAAGAUUAGAGGGACCUACUUGUGAGGCGGAGUCUUGCCUCGGAGGAUGUUGAAGAUGAAGGCGAGGAAGCUACAAAGUUCAGAAAGCCAGAAACAAAUAUCUAGGUUGUGGUUUUGGUGAGGCACGUUUGGAUUGGCUUAUGGCAUGGUUUGAAAUCAAACAUCACCAUGGCAUAAAAAGUUGGCAAGGCAUGAAGGUUUUUUUUAAGAAAUGGAGGCUUGGAGAAUCACAAGAAUGAAGAAAAAGUGGGAUAGCAAUUAGGGUUUUAGAAUUAAGUGACGUUGACUUUGGUCAAUCGUUGACCAAAAAGUCAAUAGUUGACUAAAGAGUAAACAUUACCAAAAUCUCCACUUUUUUUUUUGUAAAUAUUUUUAAUGGACAAUGUAAAAGGAUACUUGAAUGAAAUGUAAUGAAAAACACAUUUAUUUUAA